AUCGCUUCUCAGUCUUUUGGCUAAGAUCAAGUGUAGUAUCUGUUCUUACCUGUUUAAUAUCUGAUACGUCCUCUAUCCAAGGACAACAUAUUAAAUGGGUUUUUGGAGCAGGGAAAUGAAAUAGGAGCUUGCUCCGUCCACUCCAGUCUGACCUGCAAUACCUCCAGGAAUAGUACAUUCCUU
rnacentral:snRNA from 1 species